AUGCCCUUCCAGAAGGGCGAACACUUCGAGAUCAUCUUCAUUGUCAACGAUGUCGGAUACCAGAUUCUGGUGAACAGAAACUCCUUCUGUAGCUACGGGCACAGAAUGCCCCCACAAAGCGUGCAUGUUGUGAGUGCUGAUGGAGACCUGGAAUUACAAUCUCUGACCGUGAUGGGAAAUCCAACAAUGGGGAACAUGGGUAUGAUGCCAAACCCUGGAUAUGGGCCACCACAAAAUCUUCCCGUAAGUACUCAGAAGGGGGAAAAAAGGGGGCAGUGCACAAGGAAAUUCAGGGCUAGGGAUUUUAGGAGAAAUAACAUGGAGUUAACGAAAGUCUCU
rnacentral:lncRNA from 1 species